CUACGGGAGGCAGCAGUGGGGAAUAUUGCACAAUGGAGGAAACUCUGAUGCAGCAACGCCGCGUGGAGGAUGACACCUUUCGGAGCGUAAACUCCUUUUAUAUAGGAAGAAGAUGACGGUACUAUAUGAAUAAGCGCCGGCUAACUCCGUGCCAGCAGCCGCGGUAAUACGGAGGGCGCAAGCGUUACUCGGAAUCACUGGGCGUAAAGAGCGUGUAGGCGGAUUAAAAAGUCAGAAGUGAAAUCCUAUAGCUUAACUAUAGAACUGCUUCUGAAACUCUUAAUCUAGAAUAUGGGAGAGGUAGAUGGAAUUUCUGGUGUAGGGGUAAAAUCCGUAGAGAUCAGAAGGAAUACCGAUUGCGAAGGCGAUCUACUAGAACAUUAUUGACGCUGAGACGCGAAAGCGUGGGGAGCAAACAGGAUUAGAUACCCUGGUAGUC
rnacentral:rRNA from 1 species